AAUAGAAAAAAAUAGAAGAUGAAAGAAAUAAAGAAGGUGCUGCGAAACAAAACCCGCCCCCUUCUUCGCCGUGUAAUUGUAAGGCGAAAGCCACCCGAAUCGCUUGGCUUUGGUGCCAAGAACUGAACCUCUGCAUACACAAUCUUCUUCUUUAUAUGCCUUCUCUCUGCAAUUCCCAUGGAACCUAACCCACAACCCUCAGCAAAUGGUCCUCCGCCAAAACCCUGGGAACAAGCAGGUUCCUCGUCUGGCCCAGCGCCUUUUAAACCCCCGUCAGCUGGCAAUACGAGUGAUGUAGUUGAGGCUUCAGGAACUGCGAAACCUGGGGAAAUUGUUUCUGCUUCUGAUAGGACUGCAGCUGUUAACAGGAAUUCUCUUGGGAGGCCCGUGCCCACAAGGCCGUGGGAGCAGAAUUAUGGAAAUAGCACAUAUGGAGGAUAUGGUUCUACAAUGAAUUAUAAUUCUGGAUAUGGAACUGGGAUGUAUGGAUCCUCUUAUGGUGGACUAGGAGGAGGAAUGUAUGGAUCUUCUUAUGGUGGGGGACUUUAUGGUGGUAACAGUAUGUACAGGGGAGGAUAUGGUGGUGGCAUGUAUGGGUCGUCCGGGAUGUAUGGAGGGGGAAUGUAUAACAGUGGCUUUGGAGGUCCAAUGGGUGGUUAUGGCAUGGGUGGUGGACCUUAUGGAGAUCAAGAUCCCAACAAUCCAUUUGGUGGCCCUCCAUCCCCACCUGGAUUUUGGAUUUCUGUCCUACGUGUGAUGCAAGGUGUGGUUAAUUUUUUUGGUCGAAUAUCAAUACUCAUAGACCAGAACACACAGGCUUUCCAUCUGUUCAUGACUGCACUUCUCCAGGUUUUUUUAUUCGUCAUUGUCUUUUCAUUUUACGUAAUUUUGUCUAUUUGCUAAUUGUAUGCCCAGCUUCUAUGGCUGUUGGAACUUUGGAAGAAUGAUAUUCCAGUGAAAAAGGAAGCUGUUUGAUCGCUCCGGUUUAUUGUAUGGAGAGCUAGCUAGAUUUGUGUUGCGCUUGCUUGGAAUUAGAAGUAAGUCCAAGAAGGUUCACCCACCAGGUCCAAAUGGACAGCGGCUGCCUGGACCAUACAAUUCUUCUGGAGAUGUAAAUUACAUUGAGGCACCAAAGGCUGCUCCAAGUGGUGGUUCAUGGGACAAUGUUUGGGGAAAUGACUCCCCUCAAUGAUAUGUUGAAUUUUUUCUGCUAAAAGAGAUCGUCCAAAUACAUUGAAAAGAUGAGACAAAAGCAUUCCACAAGAAGAUACUGAAGCUGCAAAGUCGUGUAUAUCCCAGAUUUUAAGCUCAGUUUCCUGUUCUGUUUGUUUGCGUUGGUCUUGAUUUUACUGGAAGGGGAUCUUAAAUAAGAUACCAACCCUGCAUUAUACCUUGUAAGUGUUUUCUGAAUCUGCAGGAUGCUUAUAUUUGCUCCCUUAUAUGUAUUAUUUUGUAUUAUAACCUUGUUAAGAUUUUGUGGGGCCAUUCAAGUACGCUCCUUUUCGUGUAGUUGUAGCGUGACUUCAGAUUUGCUUUACGUAUGGAUGUGCCAUACAUCGGUAUGAGUAAUAAAGUCUAUUGUUAAAUUUUUGGUUUAA